CUCUCUGAGUAUAGUGAUAUUUAAAAAGUGUAAUUAAACUUCAGACACAAGAUUAAACGUUCCUUAAAGAUAAAAUGUGUUUCUUUUCACCAAGUCAGAAUAUGGACAUGUUUUAAUAUAUAGUGACGUGACAUACAGCGCGCGUGCUUCCACAGCUGACACACCGCGCGCACAGUAUACUGACAAGAAAGGAAAUACAUUUUGUGAAACUUUCUAUUUCGUAAGGAGUUAUGAACGUGAAAUAAUGACACAGACUGGCUACACCAUCUCAUCUGCCGCAGAUACUGUAUCAGGAGGACAGCGCGUUUGUUUGAGGCACUUUUCACUUCAACUGUGUCUGACAGGAGAAUUAGCUUUUCUGAGCUUACUAGCCGUUGAGAGUUGCCAUGGCAACCGCGGACACGUCAGCUGCUGGAGAGGAGAGGACACGUCUGACACUUUCUCUGUUUCUCGUCAGUUAUACCAAAGAAAAAUUCAACAACUGCGACAGAUUGGUUAACCGUUGAGAGUUACCAUGGCAACCGCGGACACUGCUGGAGAGGAGAGGACACGUCUGACACUUUCUCUGUUUCUCGUCAGUUAUACCAAAGAAAAGUUCAACAACUGCGACAGAUCGUUUGUUUAUUUCUAAUAAGGAGCUGGAGGCCGUGGAGAAGCAGAUCCGUGACCUCGUGGAGAAGCAGGCUCAGCUGAGAGAGCAGAGAGCCGUGCUGGAAACAUUCAGGGGUUGACGCUCAUAAGUCCAGGGUAAGUAUACAGCACGCUGCUAACUCUCCCACCCCCUCUACUCUGUGUGGUUCUCUGCACAGGCCCGGUGUACCCAGGACGCAAUCUUCCCAGAUGUCCUUCACCCUGUGCCACAGCGUAAGACAUGAGCCAGGUCCUGGGCGACAACCUCUCUCCCCCCGCUGCCUCCGGUCUUCGUGAUCUCCACUGGAAACCUAUUUGCUCCACUUCACGAGACAGAACACGACUCUGUGUUCGUCAGAGACUCCAUUGUCCGGCACGUUCGUGCUAUGUAAGCUGAAGGUAAUGUGCACACUCACUGUUUCCCUGGUGCUUGUGUUCUUGAUAUUUCUGCACAGAUACCCGCGAUCCUGAAGGGUGACGAGAGCAUCGGAGCGGUCGUGCUUCACGAUACCAAGCUGCGGCAGACGCAGACACUAAAGAGGGACUUCAGGAGCCUGAUCGAGACGGUGUGCAGCAUAUCGCCUGUACGAUGAUCAUCAUGUCAGGACCUCUUCCCAUGUAUCAACGAGGACAUGAAAGGUUCAGUAGACUUUUUGCUCUAAAUGAAUGGUUAUUGUCAUGGUGUAAAGAACACAAACUGCUCUCUGUUAAUAAUUGGAAUCUUUUCUGGGAGCGACCUAGGCUUUUUCGCUCUGAUGGCCUGCACCCCAGCAGAGUCGGAGCAGAACUGCUCUCGGACAACAUCUCCAGAACUCUACACUCCAUUGACUAGGCAGUUUGUGAAGAAAGAUAAUCAAAAGAUGUGACAAACUGUACAGAAGUCAGUUCCAGAUCCACCCUCCACACCAGACCUCUCUCUCAUAUGGACUGCUGUCUACUAGCAUACUUUGGUUGAUGCAGAUAUUACUCAGGCACAUGAACACUUGAAUAUUGCAAGCAUAGAGAAAGUAAGAAUUACUGAAGAUUUAAGAAUUUAAUGUUAAUUGCUUAAACAUUAUAUAUACUGUUUUAGCAAUUAACAUUAAUAGUUUUUUUGGUGUCCAAAGCACCUAAAAGCCAAUUCACACCGCCAUACUCCAACAGUUCAAAAAAAAACAAAAUAAGCAUGUUUUUUUAAAUAGUUUUUUUGGCAGUGUGAACUGGCCAUAAUGAUGUAUGUUAGGUGUGAGAUUCAUUAAACCUGAUUUGCUAGAAUACAUCUGCUCAUAAGAUAUUGCAUAUGAUUUUCAGUUAAUUGUUUGUAGUGGUUUGGUUAAGGGUGUGAUUAGCUGAUGUAUUAUUGUGGGAGCAUGUGAUUAGUUGAUGAAUUGUGUGCAUGGUUAAUGAUGGCUCUUAAGUAUUUAAAUGCAAAGUGCCUACUAAGACUUGAAUAUUUGUGCAUAAUGUUUUGACCCUGGAUGCUAACAGAAGGAUAUAGAUAUUUAAAUAUAUGGACAUUUAUUUAUUAUUAAUAUAUUUUAAUCUAUCUAUGCUUCUGUAUGGGCUGAAUGCUUUCAUUCACAUUUUGCUGUAUAUCCUAUGUUUUUUAUUAAUAAUUUGGGUGU